UGGAGUUGUAGAAGCGGUCGUUUCCUCAACUAUUACAUAAGGUGUCGUGUUGAGUAAAAAAUCCAAACCAACUUCCCAGCCCCCCUACUCAUCAACUUGGAACCAUGAACCCGCAAAUCCCGCCGCAAGCAACCUUUUUCUACCGGGGAAAAUGGACCGCAACCAUGGAUACGUUGCUACUCUCUACCGUGAUCAAACUGCGAGCUGGGAGCUCAUCGAAUGAUGACUCCGUGACUGAUGCGGCGCUCAAUGAGGCUUGUAAGGUAAUUAAUCUUCGCUUUCCACUGAAUUAACUUGUUCGGAUGUUGUCAGUCGCUUGGAACUACUCCGGGUUCGAUACCAGACUUUCAAAGAAGUUGUUAGCACAUCGGGAGUGCGUUGGGACCUUGACGAGAAGCUGAUCGUUGCAGACGGCGCAACAUGGAAGUUUAUAUUCCGGACAAACCCCCUCGCAGGAGCAUACUAUUACGAGGCUGAAUAUAGCCGCUUAACAACCAUGUUUGGGAUUCAGGGUGUGAAGAAGGAAAAGUCGCGCGAAGUGAUUACCAUAUCCGACGCCACGGAGCUGAUCGUGAUAACUGAUUCACCCGUACCAAAUGCACCUACUCGUGGGAAGCAUGUUUCUUCUCCGACUGAUCAGGACGAAGUGAAUUCGCCCUUCAUCGAGCCGCUUACACUGGUGCGCCGAAAGCUUUUUGACGAGCCUUCGACCAAUACUGAUGAAGUGUUGCCAAGCAUGGCUGGUGGAUGAGUUGGAAGCCUGAAUCAAACUCGGACGUUGCCGGUGAAGUAGUUGUACUCAUCGCGUAAAGGCUCAUCGUGCGCGUCGUGGAGUCCGACAGCUACAUCGCGCAAAUCAACCCCGUAACCAUCUGCGUUCUUCCCUGACCAGUCUCGAUAUCUUUUGUUACCUUAGGAAUAUGUUGUUUCAUACUUUAAGUUGCCGACAUGGUUGUUGGCAGUAAGUUUAACUUGUGUUUCAUGCUUUGUCGAAUGUAGAAUGCACAAGCGCGACUAGUCUUUUGGCUUAUGUAUGAUGUUUAUAUAAAUAGCAGAUGAAAUGCACUGUUAUUUUAA